rnacentral:tRNA from 1 species
CCUUCGAUAGCUCAGCUGGUAGAGCAGAGGACUGUAGAUCCUUAGGUCGCUGGUUCGAGUCCGGCUCGGAGGA